rnacentral:rRNA from 1 species
GAUGAACGCUGGCGGCGUGCCUAAUACAUGCAAGUCGAGCGAACAGACGAGGAGCUUGCUCCUCUGACGUUAGCGGCGGACGGGUGAGUAACACGUGGAUAACCUACCUAUAAGACUGGGAUAACUUCGGGAAACCGGAGCUAAUACCGGAUAAUAUAUUGAACCGCAUGGUUCAAUAGUGAAUGACGGUUUUGCUGUCACUUAUAGAUGGAUCCGCGCCGCAUUAGCUAGUUGGUAAGGUAACGGCUUACCAAGGCAACGAUGCGUAGCCGACCUGAGAGGGUGAGCGGCCACACUGGAACUGAGACACGGUCCAGACUCCUACGGGAGGCAGCAGUAGGGAAUCUUCCGCAAUGGGCGAAAGCUUGACGGAGCAACGCCGCGUGAGUGAUGAAGGUCUUCGGAUCGUAAAACUCUGUUAUUAGGGAAGAACAAAUGUGUAAGUAACUAUGCACGUCUUGACGGUACCUAAUCAGAAAGCCACGGCUAACUACGU